CAGCCAUAGAGAAAUAAGUAAGCAUACAGUGCUCACUCCAUACAUCAAUUUUCUUACUAGAACGCUUAUUAUUUUCGUAGUCGACAUCUAGCGUCAAGUAGCGAAUUUAUCAGUACUGCUACAUGAUAACAUGACAAUAGAUGUCGCGGCGAACGAAAAGUCUAAUGGUCAACAAUUUUUAGCUAAUAUUAUAGCCGGAUUAACCGGAACUCUUCUGCUUGUAAUAUUAGUUGUAAAUUGUUGAGCGAUACACUUUUCGUCAGUCGCGACAGUCGUGACAUCUAGUGUCAAGUAGCGGUACUGAUAAAUCCGCUACUUGACGCUAGAUGUCGACUACGAAAAUAAUAAGCGUUUUAAUAAGAAAACUGAUAUAUGGAG